UGAAAGUUGGGCUCAACUAUGGUAAGGCGUCGGUCUCGUAAACCGAAGGGCAUGGGUUCGAACCCCAUUCGUGCCU